rnacentral:rRNA from 1 species
UUGGGGGAUCUUGCGCAUGGGCGAAGCCUGAGCAGCGACGCCGCGUGAGGGAUGACGGCCUUCGGGUUGUAAACCUCUUUCAGCUCCGACGAAGCGGAAGUGACGGUAGGAGCAGAAGAAGCACCGGCCAACUACGUGCCAGCAGCCGCGGUAAUAUGUAGGGUGCAAGCGUUGUCCGGAAUUAUUGGGCGUAAAGAGCUCGUAGGCGGUCUGUCGCGUCGGCUGUGAAAACUCGGGGCUCAACUCCGAGCUUGCAGUCGAUACGGGCAGGCUAGAGUUCGGCAGGGGAGACUGGAAUUCCUGGUGUAGCGGUGAAAUGCGCAGAUAUCAGGAGGAACACCGGUGGCGAAGGCGGGUCUCUGGGCCGAUACUGACGCUGAGGAGCGAAAGCGUGGGGAGCGAACAGGAUUAGAUACCCUGGUAGUCCACGCCGUAAACGUUGGGCGCUAGGUGUGGGAUCCCUUCCACGGGUUCCGUGCCGCAGCUAACGCAUUAAGCGCCCCGCCUGGGGAGUACUGCCGCAAGGCUAAAACUCAAAGGA